AUGUUCAAUACUAUUAUUGAAAGUUUGGAUCUGAGGGAGAUCGAGCUUUCUAGUAGAAAGUUCACCUGGGCUAAUGCUAUGCCAAAUCCGACAUAUGAGAAGCUUGAUCGAGUUCUCGCGAGCGUUGAGUGGGAACAGAAGUACCCUCUUGUAACGGUACAAGCCCUCUCGCGUGGAAUUUCCGAUCAUACUCCGUUGUUCGUCGACUCAGGGGAGCCGAGCCACGUUGGAAACAAAAAUACCUUUUCUUUCGAGAUGGCCUGCUUUGAACGCGAAAGUUUCUUGGACCUGAUUGCCCGGGAAUGGGCUAAGCGUGCGGGAGGAUAG
rnacentral:rRNA from 1 species